rnacentral:sRNA from 1 species
AGACGGCUUAGGGAUUGCAGCGAUAUCCUUUUCUUUUUUUCUUUGGUGCCUUGUACUGAUAUUGGGGGAAAAGAAAAGAUAAAGCGUAAAGCCCGACCCCGU